GAGGGUGUAGCUCAGUGGUAGAGCAUAUGCUCAGCAUGCAUGAGGUCCUGGUUCAAUCCCCAGUACUUCCA
rnacentral:tRNA from 1 species